rnacentral:miRNA from 1 species
CGCGGGUGCGGGCGUGG